ensembl:lncRNA
CGGACACGGGUCGGGCUUGGACAGAAAAAUUCGGUCUGAUCCAUGCUCUAAUGUGUGUGUGUGUGUGUGCUCUAAUGUGCAUUCAGCCCUGUUGUGUGUCAGAUUGAGGCUUUUGUGUGAGUGUGUGUGUCUCUGUGUGUGGCAUGGUGGCUCAGGUGCUUGGCUCACAGCAAGAAGGUCCUGGGUUCGAUUCCCGCAUGGGGCGCUGUUGGCUCUGGGGGGCAGGUCCUCCCCAGACCUCAUUGCUCAGGUGGGCUAUCUCCUGGGCCUUUCUGUGUGGAGUUUGCAUGUUCUCCCCGUGUUCACAAGGGGUUUCCUCCACUAAGAACCCCAACAGAAAAACAUGCAAAAGAACACUCUCCUGAUCAAGACGGACGGUUCAAGAUUGAGGUGUGUGUGUGUGUAAAAUUGAGGUGUGUGUGUGUGUGUGUAAGAUUGAGGUGUGUGUGUGUGUGUGUAAGAUUGAGGUGUGUGUGUUUGUGUGUGUAAGAUUGAGGCUUGUGUGUCAGUAGGGCAGCAGACAUAAGGACAUUAUUCUGAGAAACGCACACAAACUUGAUUAGUUGAUUAGCUGAAAUGUGAAACUUUCUGCUGACAGAAGUCUAGGGUUCACACACACACACACACCUCUUCUUAUCUGACCUCCUAUCAUUUCCUGUGGUGAAACUACGAAGCCCAGUUCAUACAAAAACAGGCACAUGAGAACACACACACCAGGGACACACACUCACACUCUCACACACACAUCCAAAGACACACACUCACACUCUCACACACACACCAGGGACACACACUCACACUCUCACACACACAUCCAAAGACACACACUCACACACUCACACACACAUCCAAAGACACACACUCACACACUCACACACACAUCAGGGACACACACUCACACUCUCACACACACAUCCAAAGACACACACUCACACACUCACACACACAUCCAAAGACACACACUCACACUCUCACACACACAUCCAAAGACACACACUCACACACACACCAGGGACACACACUCACACUCUCACACACACAUCCAAAGACACACACUCACACACUCACACACCAGGGACACACACUCACACUCUCACACACACAUCCGAAGACACACACUCACACUCUCACACACACACACCAUGGAUGGCUUUUAGACUAGUGUGUGUGUGUGUGUGUGUGUGUGUGUGUGUGUGUGUGUGUGUGGUAGAGACAGACAGUGAACAGAUAACAUGCAACAUGCUCUGAUGACUGUCAUGCUUUUGCAGAUCGUUUGUUUGGUGGCGUCAGAGCGGACGACACACACGAGGAUCAGCCUGAGGGACGCUACGCUCUGAUUGGUGCAGGGGUGGGUCUGAUUCUGGCCAUCAUGUUCGUCGCCGUGAAGCUCUGCAUGAUUAAGAGACACAUGCUGGACAACGGGUUCGUAUCAGAGGACUCAAUGAGAAAACAGUCCCUGCGGACUCAGAGCAUCCGGCUGAACAGAAGAGAAGCACCAGACCAGCCCUGAACACCAGUUUACCCCGUUUCACAUGAUUAAAUUGAAGCCGUCAUUGGCCGACGCUUGAUCAUCCCCAGCAUAAAAGGGCUGCCUCAUUGCCUCACAGAGAAGCAUGCCUGAGAGAUCGCCAUUUCGUUGGACGCAACCAUUUUUGGAUUUAGCUUUUUGUGGACAUUCGGGCCUUUGGCCAACUUGACUCUGCUGGAACGCCGCGCAGCCUCACCGUGCUGCCUGGCCCCAGCUUUUGUGGACUAGAAUGUCCUUUGUUGCAGUUUGUGUCUGCCUUACCGGCAUUUGCUUGCCCGUUUGGCGUCUUUGUUACACCUGUGGUCUCUUUAGACCCUUUUUGAGUUAAUGGUUAAUAAAAACCACUUAGAACAACCA